rnacentral:rRNA from 11 species
AGGGGAGCGUUCUACCUUAGAUAGAAGCAUUAGCGAAAGCGGAUGUGGACGAAGUAGAAGUGAGAAUGUCGGCUUGAGUAGCGAAAACAUUGGUGAGAAUCCAAUGCCCCGAAAACCUAAGGUUUCCUCCGGAAGGCUCGUCCGCGGAGGGUGAGUCAGGACCUAAGGUGAGGCCGAAAGGCGUAGCCGAUGGACAACGGGUUAAUAUUCCCGUACCAUCUAUUAUUGAUACCGAGGGACGGAGAAGGCUAAACCAUCCGGAUGUUGGUUACCGGUUUAAGCGUUAAAGGUGUUGAGAGACGGUGAAAACGUCUUGAGCUAAGGCGCGAAUACGAAGUACUAAGGUACUGAAGUGGUUGAUGUCAUACUUCCAAGAAAAGCUCGAAAUAUCAUAAAUAAUAGAUGCCUGUACCCGAAACCGACACAGGUAGGUAGGUAGAGUAUACCAAGGGGCGCGAGAUAACUCUCUCUAAGGAACUCGGCAAAAUUACCUCGUAACUUCGGAAGAAGAGGUACCCUUGCAAAAGGGUUGCAAUAAAUAGGCCCUGGCGACUGUUUACCAAAAACACAGGUCUCCGCUAAUUCGUAAGAUUAAGUAUGGGGGCUGACGCCUGCCCAGUGCCGGAAGGUUAAGGAAGUUGGUUAGUCUUUGACGAAGCUGGCGACCGAAGCCCCGGUGAACGGCGGCCGUAACAAUAACGGUCCUAAGGUAGCGAAAUUCCUUGUCGGGUAAGUUCCGACCCGCACGAAAGGCGUAACGAUCAGGGUGCUGUCUCGGAGAGAGGCUCGGCGAAAUAGACAUGUCUGUGAAGAUGCGGACUACCUGCACCUGGACAGAAAGACCCUAUGAAGCUUUACUGUAUCUUGGAAUUGGGUUUGGGCUUUGCUUGCGCAGGAUAGGUGGGAGGCUUUGAAGAUGUUCUUGCGGGAACAUUGGAGCCAAUGGUGAGAUACCACUCUAGUAAGGCUAAAAUUCUAACUUCGAACCGUUAUCCGGUCGAGGAACAGUUUCAGGUGGGCAGUUUGACUGGGGCGGUCGCCUCCUAAAAGGUAACGGAGGCGUGCAAAGGUUCCCUCAGGCUGGUCGGACAUCAGUCGUAGAGUGUAAAGGCAUAAGGGAGCUUGACUGCGAGACCUACAAGUCGAGCAGAGACGAAAGUCGGCCUUAGUGAUCCGACGGUUCCGAGUGGAAGGGCCGUCGCUCAACGGAUAAAAGUUACUCUAGGGAUAACAGGCUGAUCUCCCCCAAGAGUUCACAUCGACGGGGAGGUUUGGCACCUCGAUGUCGGCUCAUCGCAUCCUGGGGCGGUAGUACGUCCCAAGGGUUGGGCUGUUCGCCCAUGAAAGCGGUACGCGAGCUGGGUUCAGAACGUCGUGAGACAGUUCGGUCCAUAUCCGGUGCAGGCGUUAGAGUAUUGAGAGGAGUUCCCCUUAGUACGAGAGGACCGGGGGAAAUACACCGCUGGUGUACCAGUUAUCGUGCCAACGGUAAACGCUGGGUAGCCAAGUGUAGAGUGGAUAACUGCUGAAAGCAUCUAAGUAGGAAGCCCACCUCAAGAUGAGUACUCUCACCGCUAUAAGCGGGUAAGAUCACGGCAAGAACAGCCGUUAUAUAGGCACCAAGUAUAAGUACAGCAAUGUAUUCAGCUGAGGUGUACUAACAGAUCGA